AUUGAACGCUGGCGGCAGGCCUAACACAUGCAAGUCGAACGAGUGGCGGACGGGUGAGUAAUGUCUGGGAAACUGCCCGAUGGAGGGGGAUAACUACUGAAAACGGUAGAUAAUACCGCAUACUAUCGGAGGUGCCCAGGUGGGAUUAGCUGGUAGGUGGGGUAAUGGCUCCACUAGGCGACGAUCCCUAGCUGGUCUGAGAGGAGGACCAGCCACACUGGAACUGAGACACGGUCCAGACUCCUACGGAGGGCAGAAGUGGGGAAUAUUGCACAAGGGGCGAAAGCCUGAUGCAGCCAUGCCUCGUGUAUGAAGAAGGCCUUCGGGUUGUAAAGUACUUUCAGCGAGGAGGCGUUACUCGCAGAAGAAGCACCGGCUAACUCCGUGCCAGCAGCCGCGGUAAUAC
rnacentral:rRNA from 1 species